rnacentral:rRNA from 1 species
AUUGAACGCUGGCGGCAGGCCUAACACAUGCAAGUCGAGCGGAUGAAGGGAGCUUGCUCCUGGAUUCAGCGGCGGACGGGUGAGUAAUGCCUAGGAAUCUGCCUGGUAGUUGGGGAUAACGUCCGUAAACGGGCGCUAAUACCGCAUACGUUCUGAUUGUGAAAGUGGGGGAUCUUCGGACCUCACGCUUUCAGAUGUGCCUAGGUCGUAUUAGCUAGUUGGUGGGGUAAAGGCCUACCAAGGCGACGAUCCGUAACUGGGCUGAGAGGAUGAUCAGUCACACUGGAACUGAGACACGGUCCAGACUCCUACGGGAGGCAGCAGUGGGGAAUAUUCGACAAUGGGCGAAAGCCUGAUCCAGCCAUGCCGCGUGUGUGAAGAAGGUCUUCGGAUUGUAAAGCACUUUAAGUUGGGAGGAAGGGCAGUAAGUUAAUACCUUGCUAUUUUGACGUUACCAACACAAUAAGCCCCGGCUAACUUCGUG